AUGAACGCUAGCUAUAGGCUUAACACAUGCAAGUCGAGGGGCAGCAUGGUCUUAGCUUGCUAAGGCCGAUGGCGACCGGCGCACGGGUGAGUAACACGUAUCCAACCUGCCGUCUACUCUUGGACAGCCUUCUGAAAGGAAGAUUAAUACAAGAUGGCAUCAUGAGUCCGCAUGUUCACAUGAUUAAAGGUAUUCCGGUAGACGAUGGGGAUGCGUUCCAUUAGAUAGUAGGCGGGGUAACGGCCCACCUAGUCUUCGAUGGAUAGGGGUUCUGAGAGGAAGGUCCCCCACAUUGGAACUGAGACACGGUCCAAACUCCUACGGGAGGCAGCAGUGAGGAAUAUUGGUCAAUGGGCGAGAGCCUGAACCAGCCAAGUAGCGUGAAGGAUGACUGCCCUAUGGGUUGUAAACUUCUUUUAUAAAGGAAUAAAGUCGGGUAUGGAUACCCGUUUGCAUGUACUUUAUGAAUAAGGAUCGGCUAACUCCGUGCCAGCAGCCGCGGUAAUACGGAGGAUUCGAGCGUUAUCCGGAUUUAUUGGGUUUAAAGGGAGCGUAGAUGGAUGUUUAAGUCAGUUGUGAAAGUUUGCGGCUCAACCGUAAAAUUGCAGUUGAUACUGGAUAUCUUGAGUGCAGUUGAGGCAGGCGGAAUUCGUGGUGUAGCGGUGAAAUGCUUAGAUAUCACGAAGAACUCCGAUUGCGAAGGCAGCCUGCUAAGCUGCAACUGACAUUGAGGCUCGAAAGUGUGGGUAUCAAACAGGAUUAGAUACCCUGGUAGUCCACACGGUAAACGAUGAAUACUCGCUGUUUGCGAUAUACGGCAAGCGGCCAAGCGAAAGCGUUAAGUAUUCCACCUGGGGAGUACGCCGGCAACGGUGAAACUCAAAGGAAUUGACGGGGGCCCGCACAAGCGGAGGAACAUGUGGUUUAAUUCGAUGAUACGCGAGGAACCUUACCCGGGCUUAAAUUGCAGAUGAAUUACGGUGAAAGCCGUAAGCCGCAAGGCAUCUGUGAAGGUGCUGCAUGGUUGUCGUCAGCUCGUGCCGUGAGGUGUCGGCUUAAGUGCCAUAACGAGCGCAACCCUUGUUGUCAGUUACUAACAGGUUCCGCUGAGGACUCUGACAAGACUGCCAUCGUAAGAUGUGAGGAAGGUGGGGAUGACGUCAAAUCAGCACGGCCCUUACGUCCGGGGCUACACACGUGUUACAAUGGGGGGUACAGAGGGCCGCUACCACGCGAGUGGAUGCCAAUCCCCAAAACCUCUCUCAGUUCGGACUGGAGUCUGCAACCCGACUCCACGAAGCUGGAUUCGCUAGUAAUCGCGCAUCAGCCACGGCGCGGUGAAUACGUUCCCGGGCCUUGUACACACCGCCCGUCAAGCCAUGGGAGCCGGGGGUACCUGAAGUGCGUAACCGCGAGGAGCGCCCUAGGGUAAAACUGGUGACUGGGGCU
rnacentral:rRNA from 1 species